rnacentral:lncRNA from 1 species
CAUUUAAGAUUUGGAUUCUCAAAUCAUUUAAAGUACAGUUAAAGUUGCUUUAUGCUUAUUUUUAAAAGCUUGCAAAACACUUGUUUCAAACCUUUUGAAAGAUAUGUGCUGUUUUUAAUUCUUUGGACCUUUUUCUUAGUUUUCCACAUUUUCUGGUUUAUUAUUAAUGAUUUUGUUUACUCUUUGCCAAGUUUUGUCUUGUGAAUUAUUUUUAAACAGCAACAUCCCCUUUUAAAAACAUGUACAUAAUAAUUUACUACAUGUUUUCAUGUCCAUUUUCAUUUGAUCAUGUGAUUUGUGAAAUAACUUGAAAUCUAUACUUUGGUUUGUGAAAAUAAUGGAACCAAAUCUCUGUCGUUAGAAUGUAUAUUUUGAGUUUAUGUUCAGAAGUGAGUUUGUGGAUUUGUUCAGAGCCAGCCAUACUCUCCUUGUAUGUACUUUGUAACCAGUGCAAACCUUUCUAAGAAGACUUUCCCAUGAUCAGGUCAAGCUUAUGACUAUAAAGCAUUUCCUUCCUUGAGAAGCUAUAGAAUUCAGUAUCUACUCUGAUUUACCAUUGCUCUAACUGAGCUAAGUGGUGGAGACUAUUAGCAUAUACCAGUAUGCGUUUGUUAAUGUGCAACGCUGAUUGGAACUGGUCUUAGGAAGGGUGCUGUGGCUUAUGUACAUCUACAGUUGUAGGACUGUCUUUAGAAUGCUGAAAGUUGCUAUGUAUAUGCUAGGUUGAUACAGGUAAAUUCUGAGGUACAUGGUAAAUCCAUGCUGUUCAAAACCAGUCACCAUGUGCAGAGGAAAAGAGAGGUUUAAUGAGGACCUCAGGAAUAAUGAUACUAAGUUAUUGACUUCAGUGAUGGAAUUUUGUUUCAAACACAAGCCACUUAGUGUACCAGAAUGGUCGUCAGAGUAACACUAGUUGGUUUUUAAAUUUUACAUUGCUAAUUUUGUUAAUAAUAAACUGCUUAGGAUAUACUUUUUUAGUGGUCAUGUCUUUAACCUGAAAAACUUAAAAGAAGUGGAAAACUUGUUCCACAGGAUAUUUAAAACUAAGGAAUUCCAGUAACCUCGCAUAUGUUGACUAUAAACUGUUAACUGAUUCAGCAACUGAAUUAUAACUUGGUACUUCUGAAUGGCAAAGUGAUUGCUGUAAACUAUUUUCUAAGGUAGCUAAAGGUUUAAAAUAGAUAAUUCUAAAGGUAAAUCAGUAAAAUCUCUUGAUAAUUGGUAUCCUAAAUCACUUGUGUGCCUGAGAAAAUAA